UGGAAGCCUUGGGGCACAGCCCAGGGAGGACAUAAGGGAAAGGGGUCCAUCCAUGACCUUGAAAUGAUACACCAGGCCCCUCGCCCUCCCCUAAGAGUACCAAGCUCUGCUUUGCUUUUGGUGUGUUGCUGUGCCACUCAUGAGGGCUGCAGUCUCUCACGUUAUCCAUGCUGGUCAGCCUGUGUGUGCUGCCAUUAUUGGACAAUAAACUCAGGAGGUGGAACAAGUCUGGAGGCUGCAGGUUCAAGACCUAGGUGUGAGUAGGACUGGGUUCCGUUGAGGGCUGUGAAGAAAAGGUCAGCCCUGAGUCCUAUCAUUGGCUUCUAGGGCUUCUAUAUUUUUUAUGUCUUCAUAUGGG
rnacentral:lncRNA from 1 species